UGGUGGAGUGAUUUGUCUGGUUAAUUCCGUUAACGAAUGGGACCGCUGCCUGCUAAAUAGUCUACUGAGUGAUUUUCACUGAGCGAGACUUCUUAGAGGGACGUGCAUUCUAUUAGAUGCAGGAAGAUAGCGGCAAUAACA
rnacentral:rRNA from 1 species